UACAGAGGUGGCAAGCGUUGUUCGGAAUUACUGGGCGUAAAGGGCGCGUAGGUGGUUUGCUAAGUUGGAUGUGAAAACUCUGGGCUUAACCCAGAGCCUGCAUUCAAAACUGACAAGCUCGAGUUCUGGAGGGGGAAGCGGAAUUCCUGGUGUAGCGGUGAAAUGCGCAGAUAUCAGGAGGAACACCGGUGGCGAAGGCGGUUCUCUGGGCAUUACCUGACGCUGAGGAGCGAAAGUGUGGGGAGCGAACAGG
rnacentral:rRNA from 1 species